GAUGAACGCUGGCGGCGUGCCUAAUACAUGCAAGUCGAGCGAACAGAUAAGGAGCUUGCUCCUUUGACGUUAGCGGCGGACGGGUGAGUAACACGUGUGUAACCUACCUAUAAGACUGGAAUAACUCCGGGAAACCGGGGCUAAUGCCGGAUAACAUUUAGAACCGCAUGGUUCUAAAGUGAAAGAUGGUUUUGCUAUCACUUAUAGAUGGACCCGCGCCGUAUUAGCUAGUUGGUAAGGUAACGGCUUACCAAGGCAACGAUACGUAGCCGACCUGAGAGGGUGAUCGGCCACACUGGAACUGAGACACGGUCCAGACUCCUACGGGAGGCAGCAGUAGGGAAUCUUCCGCAAUGGGCGAAAGCCUGACGGAGCAACGCCGCGUGAGUGAUGAAGGUCUUCGGAUCGUAAAACUCUGUUAUUAGGGAAGAACAAAUGUGUAAGUAACUGUGCACGUCUUGACGGUACCUAAUCAGAAAGCCACGGCUAACUACGUG
rnacentral:rRNA from 1 species